AGGACAACUACAAAAUCUCAAAAGCUUCACACUAUCUUGAUCAAGAUAGUGUGAAGCAAAAUCAAUUCAUGGUACCCAACAAAAGCUUCAACUCCAAAGCUUCACCUACAAAACUUCAACUCCAAAGCUUCACCUACAAAAGCUUCAACACAAAAGCUUCACCCACAAAAACUUCAACACAAAAGCUUCACCCACAAAAGCUUCACCUACGAAAGCUUGACCCACAAAAGCUUCACCUACAAAAGCUUGACCCACAAA
rnacentral:lncRNA from 1 species